rnacentral:rRNA from 1 species
AUUGAACGCUGGCGGCAUGCCUUACACAUGCAAGUCGAACGGCAGCACGGGUGCUGCACCUGGUGGCGAGUGGCGAACGGGUGAGUAAUACAUCGGAACGUACCUUAUCGUGGGGGAUAACGUAGCGAAAGUUCCGCUAAUACCCCAUCCGCCCUGAGGGGGAAAGCGGGGGACCGUAAGGCCUCGCGCGAUUAGAGCGGCCGAUGUCUGAUUAGCUUGUUGGUGAGGUAAAAGCUCACCAAGGCGAUGAUCAGUAGCUGGUCUGAGAGGACGAUCAGCCACACUGGGACUGAGACACGGCCCAGACUGCUACGGGAGGCAGCAGUGGGGAAUUUUGGACAAUGGGGGCAACCCUGAUCCAGCAAUGCCGCGUGAGUGAAGAAGGCCUUCGGGUUGUAAAGCUCUUUUGUCAGGGAAGAAACAGCAGCUCUAACACAGUCUGCGAAUGACGGUACCUGAAGAAUAAGCACCGGCUAACUACGUGCCAGCCGCCGCGGUAA